ACGCUAGUCGUCUUAGAUGAGGGCUGAGGUAGUGAGGGUUAUACCAGCACAAAGAAAGGGACAGAGUUGAGAGUACAAGUGGAGAGUAAACCCAGAAGAGAAAUUGGGUUUGGGGACGCUGUUUGAAUCUCGCCUCCAUUGGUUAUCAGCCCUGUGACCUUCGGCAAGUACUUCAACGUGGCCACGCUUCCAUUUUCUCACCUGGAAAACAAGGACAUCACAUGUACCUUUGUUGACAUGAAAUGAGACAAGGAGCCUUGAGCAGCAGACCAACAGCACAAUUAUUUGCAGUGAUUCUAUUUGACCCACAAAUUCUCAACAAAAGCACACGGAACAAAUGAAGUUGAAAGGAGGAGACUGCGAUUCCCUGAGGACAGAGACUGCAUUCACUUUGUAGCCCAGAGCCUGGCAUGCAGUGUACUUCUUGUGAGCUAUUCAGUGAAGACGCCAACUCAACACCCUCAACAUCCUCAUGAGAGGUAGUGGGCUCCCUCUCCUGCAGACUCAAAGCUCUGUCAAAACAGGGGCCAUAUUUACUGUGUUCAACACUGUAUAUCUAGCAACUGGUGGGAUCCCUUGCACACAGAAGGAACUAGGAUCAAAGAGAAAAAAGAGAAAGGGCCCACUACGACAUGGAUGAAUCUCGGUAACAUAAUUCUGAGUGAAAAAAAGAAAUCUUGGAAAGUUCUGGUGCUCAGCUAUAAUCCCCCAAGUUUGAAAACAAAACUGCAGCUAUUGGGGAAUGGGCUCUGUUCCCAAGUGUGGGAUUCCCUGAUGUCACUGAAUCAGGGAGCAGAGCACGAUGCCCUGUUGCUCACGUGAGCUGAGGCAGAGCCACUGGAGAACAGCCCAACCCCUGGCUGAGGGGCCCAGGGGACAUCAGACUCUCACCAUCCUUGACAGUGGUAGAAACAGUACUAGAUCAUUGCUUAAUGAAUUAAAUGAAUUUAUAAAAGCACUGCAUUAAAUUAAUCUACACUAAGAUAUAAAUGACUAAGAACCUCAUUAGUCUCUCCAAACAAGGUGCUCCCAUUUGUGAUGAAAAUGCUCAACAAACUAGGAAGAGAGGGAAAGUUCCCCAACCUGAGAAACUUGAUCGGGGGUGAUGGGAAUUGUCUAAAACUGGGUUGUGGUAGAGAUUGCACAACUCUAAAUGAAUUUACUAAAAUCACUGAUGACGUUGCAUUACAAGUGAAUUUUAUGGCAUGAAGAUGUACCUCAAUAAAGC